CGUGACAUGAGCCGAAGGCAGAUGCUAACCGACUGAGUCACCCAGGCUCAGCCUACCCCCCUCACCAAGCAUUUUUUAAGCAUCCACUCUGUGCUGGGCAUAUAACUGAUCAAGAUAGAUAAUGUCCCUGUUCUCGUGGAGCUCAUGGCGGUGGGGGUGGAGGGGUAGGGGACAGAGAAGUGAACAAGCUAAUCUCAGAUUAUUUUUAGAAGUACAGGUGUCCUUUUUACCUGAAUCUGUUUGGUUCCUGAGUUUAAGUGGCAGGGAUUUAGGCACUGAGUGAUACCUGUGCUUGGAGGAAUAUUAACAUAGUAAUGUGAUGGAGAGUAAAUUGGAGGGAGGUGCUAAGACAACUUUCCUGAGGGGAUGUGCUCGAGGUGAGACCGGAAUAACUAGAAACUAGUUUCUAACCAUGUGGAGAUCCUAAGGGAAGAGGGAGUAACAAGUAUAAAGGCCCCAGGGUAGGAACAAGCUAGAUGUAUUCAGGGAUCAUCAAGGGCAGCCUGGCUAGAGUCCAGUAAGUGGUGGGGAUAUCUGAAUCUUAUCCUUAGUACAAUAGAUAUUGUAAACCAGCAAUGCUGUUGGUUUUAGGCAAUGAAUAUGUUAUGAUACAGCUGUUUAUGGCGUACUACGAGGCAAUUCAAAGGAUAAAGUAAAAUUAUUUGUACCCCUAUGGGAAGAUCUCCAAGAUACAUAGUUAAAUGCAAAAAGCAAGUUGUAGAGCAGUAUGUAAGGUAUUUCACAAAACAAGACUCUUUGUGAAUGAAGCAUGGAGUAGGGACUCUUGUAUGUACGUACCAAACGGUUAACAGUAUUUAUUUCUAGGGAGCACAGGGGGAUUGGUGAGGGGGUGAAGGAGGGCUGUUGUUUUUACUCCCCAGUAUAUUUGGAUUUUGUAACAAAGGAAGUGCAUGGGCAGUGAGGAACUGGUGAUUGUGUGACAAGGUGUGGCUUUCCAGGAAAACACAAUAGCUAAAUAGGGAUACGGGAUUGCAGAACAUAUUGCCCCUUGUGACUUUCCUGCCUGCCAUACUGGAUUCUUUACAAAAUUAUGUAAGCAACUAGUGUAUUUAACCCAACAUUCCCCUCAAGAUAUCAAAUGUGUGAUCACCGUUUCUGAUGAGCCUACAGUAUGUUCCCAGUAUUGCCAUGGGAACAUUUGUGGUGUUGAUCCCUAGUUGAACAGGAAUGUGAUCCUACAGGAAUCAGUGACUUUCAAAGAUGUGGCUGUGGACUUCACCCAGGAAGAAUGGCACCACGUGGACCCAGCUCAGAGGCGCUUGUACAGGGAUGUGAUGCUGGAGAACUAUAGCCACCUGGUUUCUCUUGAGUUCCUGAAGAUCCAGGACUAGUACUGACUUGUAGGAGGGGUCUUUGUCCACUUGCCCAAACAACCAAAUCUUGUGUAUUUACCCAUGAGCAGGAUAUCAAGUUUCCAAGCCAGAGGUGAUCUUCAAAUUGGAACAAGGAGAAGAGCCGUGGAUAUCAGAGGGAGAAAUCCAAAGACCUUUCUGUCCAGACUGGAAGACCAGGCCUGAAGCCAAAUCAUCACAUCUGCAACAGAGCGUAUCUGCAGGAUCCCGUAGCACAGAUGGCCUUUCGCAUGCCACAUUUGAAAGCACUUGGGAUGUUAGUAGCCAAUUAGAGAGACACCAGGAAACCUGGAAAAGGUACCUGGGGCCAGGUGCAUCCAACCAGAAGAAAAUAAUCACACCAGAGGAAAAUUUUCAGCAAAAUAAAUUUGGUGAAAAUUCUAGAUUGAACACAGUCCUGGUUACACAACUGAACAUUCCUUCAAGGCCUACUGAAUGUGAUACACUUGGAAGCAAUUUGGGACAUAAUUCAGAUGUAAUUAAUCAGAAUAAUAUCCUUGCAAAAAAGAAACCUUAUAAAUGUGACAAAUGUAGAAAAGCCUUUAUUCAUAGAUCAUCACUCACUAAACACGAGAAAACUCAUAAAGGAGAAGGAGCUUUCCCCAAUGGUACAGAUCAGGGAAUUUAUCCUGGAAAGAAACACCAUGAAUGUACUGACUGUGGAAAAACCUUCCUCUGGAAGACACAACUUACUGAGCAUCAGAGAAUUCACACUGGGGAGAAACCCUUUGAAUGUAAUGUGUGUGGGAAGGCCUUCAGACAUAGCUCAUCCCUUGGUCAGCAUGAGAAUGCUCACACGGGAGAGAAACCUUACCAGUGCAGUCUCUGUGGGAAAGCCUUCCAGCGCAGCUCCUCCCUUGUUCAGCACCAGAGAAUUCACACUGGAGAGAAACCCUAUCGAUGCAAUUUAUGUGGGAGAUCUUUUAGGCAUGGCACAUCCCUCACUCAGCAUGAAGUCACACAUAGUGGAGAGAAACCCUUCCAGUGUAAGGAAUGUGGGAAAGCCUUUAGUCGAUGUUCUUCCCUUGUCCAGCAUGAAAGGACUCAUACAGGAGAGAAACCUUUUGAAUGUAGCAUAUGUGGGAGGGCUUUUGGUCAGAGUCCAUCCCUUUAUAAACAUAUGAGGAUUCAUAAGAGAGGCAAACCUUACCAAAGCAAUAACUACAGCAUAGAUUUCAAGCACAACCCAUCUCUUACUCAAGAUGAAAGCACUGUCACUGAAGUGAAAUCCUAUCAUUGUCAUGACUGUGGGGAAGACUUCAGUCACAUUACUGACUUUACUGAUCAUCAGAGGAUCCAUACUGGACAGAACCCCUAUGAAUGUGAGCAGAACUUUAGUCAACAACCUAUUUCUCAUCCUGGAGAGAAGCCCUAUCAGUGUAAUGUAUGUGGAAAAGCUUUCAAAAGGAGUACAAGCUUCAUAGAGCAUCACAGAAUUCAUACUGGAGAAAAACCCUAUGAAUGUAAUGAAUGUGGAGAAGCCUUCAGUCGACGCUCAUCACUUACUCAGCAUGAGAGAACCCACACUGGAGAGAAACCCUAUGAAUGUAUUGACUGUGGGAAAGCCUUCAGUCAAAGUUCAUCCCUCAUUCAGCAUGAGAGAACUCAUACUGGAGAAAAACCCUAUGAAUGUAAUGAAUGUGGGCGAGCCUUUCGAAAGAAAACCAAUCUGCAUGAUCAUCAGAGAAUUCAUACUGGAGAAAAACCCUAUGCUUGUAAGGAAUGUGGGAAAAACUUCAGUAGAAGUUCAGCACUAACUAAACACCAGAGAAUUCAUGCACGAAAUAAACUGUAGAAGCCCUGAAAUUAAGGAAUGUGCAGAAAACUUUAGCUAAACUAUUGUUCUUAUUCAGUAUCACAGGAUUCUUACUAGAGAGGAAGCUUGAGAAUGUAAUGGUGUGUGUGUGUGUGGUGUGUGAAGAAAGCUCUAUGCUAGUAGACAAUGUUUUUUUUAAUAAAUAGAAGCCACAUUCUCAAAUCUGAUUACAGACUUUGUAAAAACAACUAUAAACAUCAUAUAUAACCAAUUGGAAAUGAUAUGCCUAUGUAUUGGACUUUAUAAAGCUUUUGAAUAUAUGUAUGCAGGAGAGCAUCAACUUUGAACAGUUUGACUUGUAACUCUGUGUUUACAGCCUUUUUUAAUAAAACUCCUGCAGUAAUGACCAAAACUUAUUUUAAAAUUGCUUGAUGACCGCAUUCAACUGCAGCUCUUACAUUAAAUUCACCAUGGAAACCAGUUCCACCUCCCGGAAUCCACCAUUCAAAGAAUGAGAUCAGCUGGUCCAACCACUUCAUUGUACAGAUAAGAAACCAAAAGCCAAAGAUGUGAAGUGGUUUGCACAGUGUGAUACAGCUUAUAAUGCAAAGCUGGGUGGAGAAAGCGGGUCUCCUGGAUCUUUGACCCUGUGGUCUAGCCACUGAAAUGGAAUUCAGAGGGCUUUAAAGUAAAUUUUAAAAUAAAUCAGAUGCACAAACUAAUGAGCACUUGAGUUGGAUACUCUAGGAAUUCAUAAAAGCAUAAGAGACAGCAAAAUACAGAGGCAGAUUUGUCACAGACUUAUUCAGAACAACUUGUUGGAAGCUUACAUACCAAAAUGUUAACAAAACCUGUGAAUAGUUCAACUGCUGGUGACCUUUUUCCUUUUCCCAAGUGUAAUAUUUAUACAUUCAACUAACAUGUCAGUUUCAUAGACCUGCUCAGUCCUCUUACUGUGCUUUUUAUGACACUCCCAUGACAAGGCACUGCCCCAAGCUUCCUAUAUUGGAUCAGUGGGAAAACAGCACAAAACUAAAGAGGAAACAUUCUCCCCAAGUUAAUUUUACUGUGGAGGAGUAUAAAUGUAAUUACCCAUUGUCAUAAAAUCUAUCUUUAAAUCAGUUUAGAGAACCCAUGUAAUGACCCAUUUUGUGUGCCAAGGAAAUACUUCAUGCUCUUCCACCAGUAAAGCAUGAGAUAAGCAUCAGUAGCCCACUCCAAUCCCUAAUGUUCUCUCAUGCCUACCGUAGGCUAUCCUAAAAGAAUCCCAAAGGUGCCAACAGUGGAGAUAAAUUUGGAAGUAAUUGUGGACCUUGACCCCUUUCACACAAGAACCUCUCCUCUCUAAAGAUAAGUAAAUUUUCCCACCCUGAUGAAUCAUGGAGAGGAAUGAUAUAGGUGAUGUUGAUGGUAAACCUUUCCUACUGUCUUCUUUACAUGCCAAGUAGCAAGAUCCAUUAUCCUUCUCUCAUCCUGGACAACAGGAAGUAACUCCCAAAUAUUCUUCAUAAUUCUUUGCAGGAAAAAUGUGCAUGGGGGCUGAAAUGUGUGAUGUCUAGCACAAUGAGUCCAUUACAAGUGGAACAAGAUGGGAAUCUGCCCUUCCAAGACUUUAACUGUUCAAAAAUAUCUUGUUUGUGAUGUUCCAUGCUUAACACACACACAGUGCCAAGACCAUGUGUUGUCUGAUACAUAGUUUGACAAUGGGUAAUUCUAUACAGACCCCCCCUUCCACUGAGUGGCUGCCAUGCUUAUCAGGAACUUAUUUGCUGCUGAUUAUUUGGGGAUCCGCAUAGUGGACUAUUUGCAAGAAUGACAUAAAUUGGAACCAGUUGAGUGCUUUCCUACUUUAAAAGAAGUUUGUAAAGACUUAGUUCCAGAAGACUCAAAGAAAACCACUGGUUUGUGUGUGGAACUUGGCCUAGAUCCGACCAAUCUCUGAAUCUCAGCACAUCUGCAUUGACAAAGAAGGAGCCCAGAAUGUCCGUGGUAUGUGUGGUUGAUUGAGCAGAGGAUUCUCGAGUUCCAGCAACCAGGCACCAUGCACUUAUGAACACCCAGCUUCCUAGGCCACAUGAAAUACAUCCUUGUAACAUCAUUGUAUUAUUUCAAUAAAUAGCCUUCUUAGUUGAA